GACGAACGCUGGCGGCGUGCCUAAUACAUGCAAGUCGAACGCUUCUUUCCUCCCGAGUGCUUGCACUCCAUUGGAAAGAGGAGUGGCGGACGGGUGAGUAACACGUGGGUAACCUACCCAUCAGAGGGGGAUAACACUUGGAAACAGGUGCUAAUACCGCAUAACAGUUUAUGCCGCAUGGCAUAAGAGUGAAAGGCGCUUUCGGGUGUCGCUGAUGGAUGGACCCGCGGUGCAUUAGCUAGUUGGUGAGGUAACGGCUCACCAAGGCCACGAUGCAUAGCCGACCUGAGAGGGGGAUCGGCCACACUGGGACUGAGACACGGCCCAGACUCCUACGGGAGGCAGCAGUAGGGAAUCUUCGGCAAUGGACGAAAGUCUGACCGAGCAACGCCGCGUGAGUGAAGAAGGUUUUCGGAUCGUAAAACUCUGUUGUUAGAGAAGAACAAGGACGUUAGUAACUGAACGUCCCCUGACGGUAUCUAACCAGAAAGCCACGGCUAACUACGUG
rnacentral:rRNA from 1 species